UACGUAGGGUGCGAGCGUUGUCCGGAAUUAUUGGGCGUAAAGAGCUCGUAGGCGGCUUGUCGCGUCGACUGUGAAAUCCCGAGGCUCAACUUCGGGCUUGCAGUCGAUACGGGCAGGCUAGAGUUCGGUAGGGGAGACUGGAAUUCCUGGUGUAGCGGUGAAAUGCGCAGAUAUCAGGAGGAACACCGAUGGCGAAGGCAGGUCUCUGGGCCGAUACUGACGCUGAGGAGCGAAAGCGUGGGGAGCGAACAGG
rnacentral:rRNA from 1 species